UACGUAGGGUGCGAGCGUUGUCCGGAAUUAUUGGGCGUAAAGAGCUCGUAGGCGGUCUGUCGCGUCGGUCGUGAAAACUUGGGGCUUAACCCUGAGCUUGCGGUCGAUACGGGCAUGACUGGAGUUCGGCAGGGGAGACUGGAAUUCCUGGUGUAGCGGUGAAAUGCGCAGAUAUCAGGAGGAACACCGGUGGCGAAGGCGGGUCUCUGGGCCGUAACUGACGCUGAGGCACGAAGGCCAGGGGAGCAAACGGG
rnacentral:rRNA from 1 species